CGGAGUUCAGUCUUCCCAGGCCCACCACUUUCAUCGAGUGAGCAUUCGUCUUCUGGUUACGGGGCCAUAGCUCAGCUGGGAGAGCGCGUGCUUUGCAAGCAUGAGGUCGUCGGUUCGAUCCCGUCUGGCUCCACCAGAUGGUUUGAUCACCGAGAUCUUGUACCGUCGUCCGCGAAACAUCACUUCGCAUCCUGCUAGUCUGGAUAGACAGCAAGAUGCGUGUUUUCUGACAUCGUAAAGAGGAGAUCGAUCCGAGUUGGGUCGUGCAGCGGAUUGUUGCGCGAAUCCUUCAUUAUCUCCGGAUCAUUUUCGGCGCUCGCUUUCAGCCGUGAGGUUGAAUGCGAGUUGUAAAAUGAUCCUUUUAGCGAAGCUUGACCGCCUCGCUAUCGGAACGAUCUUACGAAGCAAGCUGGUCUUUCUAGUCAAUGUCCGGCUGUGCGUAGCGUUCAUCGAGGGCGCGUGCCGUAAGGCAAUCGUACAGACAACAUUCUGCCGAGUGUGUGGACAUUGAUAAUGAGAGCAAUCAAGUGCCUUAAGGGUGUUCGGUGGAUGCCUUGGCGCUGAGAGGCGAUGAAGGACGUGCUACGCUGCGAUAAGCCGUGGGGAGCUGCGAAGAAGCUUUGAUCCGCGGAUUUCCGAUG
rnacentral:misc_RNA from 2 species